AAUAGAUGAGGAAAAACAAACAUACAGGUUAAAUGGAUAGCCGCCGGAAAAAAAUAUCCAAGAAUAAGACAAAGGACUGAAUUUUCUUGCAUUCUAAGAAUUCAUUUAACUCCAGGAUCACCUCCAUUGAGAACAAAAUGUGGAAGAGAAGACAGCAAAAAGUGUGGACCUCCACUGACUAUUAAGAAUGGAGAUACCAAUAGGCCUAUCAAAGAAAGAAUACCCACCAGGGUCUUUUGUAGAGUACAAGUGCCAACUGUUCUAUCUUCUAGAAGGAGACAAGAAAUCUUUUUGUGAAAGUGGGACAUGGACAGAUGCACCCAGGUGUCUAGAUCCAUGGUUUUGUUACAUUAGAAGAAAUGGCAGAGCAGAAACUGAUCCCAAAAGGAGGUCUAAUGAAAGCAUGUACUUGGAAGUGGGAGAUUCCAUUGAAAUUCACUGUAUAUCAGGAUACACACUUCAGUCCAAAUUGGAUUUCAAAGUGGAGUGUAAAAGAAAUCAAACUGUGUAUCCCAAAUGUAUAGAGAAAGGUCAGCUGCAGGAUUGUGAAUUGCCCCCAACAACUUCUGAAUGGGUAUUUUAUCUACUCGGUAAAAAGCAGAGAAUUUAGAGAUGGUGUGGCUAUUCAUUAUCGGUGUGAGAACAAUUUUGAACCUAAAUCACCAGUGAAAUAAUUUGCAGUAAUGGAAAGUGGCAACCUGAGCCAGAGUGUGUAGAUGUGGGAUGUGGAGUGCCUCCAGAGUUUGAGAAUGCUGAUAUUAUUGGUUCUAAAAAGCCCAGUUAUCUAUCUGGGGAAGCAGUGGCACUAUCAAAUGUCAUACAGGCUUCAAAAUACAGGUUCAAAACAACAUAACAUGUUCUGGAGGAAAAUGGACUGGUUCACCAUAUUGUUACAGUGAUUAUGGAUCUGGACAUU